CUGUUCAAUUCAGGUAAAUAUUUUUUUUUAAAUAAACAGGGGUAAAAAAUGACAAAAUAGCAAUGUGUGGGGUGUUUGUUUUGAUUUUGAUACUUUUAAAGGGUAAUCAAAUAGUGCAGUUGGUUGCUUAAUCCAUCCGCUCAUCAAAGCCUUGGUCCUCCUCUACCACAACCAUUGACUCACUCGCUGCUUUUAGAACAGAUAAAGAAGAAGAUUCUGACCCCAACAUGGAGAUCUGAGACUUCAUCUGAUUAUGCUGUUUUUAUUAUUAAAGUUAAUCAUUUUUUUCUGGAAAAUAUCAAUUUAUUCUGAAGUAUGUUUAAAUCAAAGCACAAAUAUUCGAAUUAUUGUGAACAGGGAGGACCAAAGUUCAUUUUGUGUGUCACGUUUCUAUUCAAGUUAAAUAUUAUAUAAGGUAAUGAUGAAGUGUUUUCCUAGAGCAUGUGUCACAAUAAAAAGAGAAUCUGACAAUGUGAAUUUUAUUUCAUAAUUAACACUGUUGGGUGCUGUCUAUCAGUCAUUGCCAAAUUUUUGACAAAUUAAAAUAAACUUGUUUAAUGGUUGAAAAUAUAAUCAAACCCCAACUGUCUGCUGUCUGCUAGAGUUUUUUUGUUCUGGUGUAUCCUCUCAUGCUCCCCAUAUCCCAGCAUGCAUUGCAGUCGACCCUGAAGAUUUUUCCACAGUGGUGGACUUAAAUGCGGCACCCAGAGUCAUAGAAAAUGUGACUUUUAAUGACAAUCCUGAAGAAAAUGGCUCUGCUGGGAAAGAUUUCCCCCUUAUAGGGCAAAAAAACAGUGGGACAACCUAA